rnacentral:ncRNA from 2 species
UAUCUUCGCGCCGUAUAUGGUUCCGCUAAUACCGGUUUUACCGGUUGAGGCGGAUUAAAAGGGAAGUCCGGUUGAUCCCGGCGCUAUCCCCGUAGCUGUAAUGUUUUAGGAAUAUUUUCCUCCUGAAGAUCCAGAACCACUGUUCGCCUGCGCUUUAGCAAAGGCGGAUGGGAAGGGGAUCAUCAGUUAAACGAGCCAGAAGACCUGCCAUCUACAGAAAUCAUAU